GACAGAGGGUGCAAACGUUGUUCGGAAUUACUGGGCGUAAAGCGCGUGUAGGCGGCUAUGUAAGUCGGGCGUGAAAUCCCACGGCUCAACCGUGGAAGUGCACCCGAAACUGCGUAGCUAGAGUCCUGGAGAGGAAGGUGGAAUGCUUGGUGUAGAGGUGAAAUUCGUAGAUAUCAAGCGGAACACCGGUGGCGAAGGCGGCCUUCUGGACAGUGACUGACGCUGAGACGCGAAAGCUAGGGGAGCAAACAGG
rnacentral:rRNA from 1 species